rnacentral:rRNA from 1 species
UACGUAGGGUGCAAGCGUUAAUCGGAAUUACUGGGCGUAAAGCGUGCGCAGGCGGUUUUGUAAGUCAGAUGUGAAAGCCCCGGGCUCAACCUGGGAAUUGCAUUUGAAACUACAAGGCUAGAGUGUGUCAGAGGGGGGUAGAAUUCCACGUGUAGCAGUGAAAUGCGUAGAGAUGUGGAGGAAUACCGAUGGCGAAGGCAGCCCCCUGGGAUAACACUGACGCUCAUGCACGAAAGCGUGGGGAGCAAACAGG